GUGAUGCCAUUCUCCUUGGUGCCGAGACUGUCCGUGGAUUGUAUCCAGUUGGGAUUUAAACGGUAGGCAGAAUUUGUGCUGAGGUGAACUUUCUUUUGGAGGCUGAGAAUGUCUUCAACCAGGAUUUGUACUUCAAGCGAACCAUGAAAUACGUGGGAGAACCCAUGACCCACAUGGAGUCUAUUGCUUCCUCUGAAGCUGCUAUCAAAGUUAAGGCUUCGGUCAUCAUUUUCUUCACCUCAUCUGGACAGGAGAAAAAGAGUAUUUCUUCUUAUAGGCGCUUCACCUCAUCUUUGUAGUUUAAUGGAAAUUGAUUGAUAUAUUAUGCUGUAUCGAGUAUCUGCAGGCUAAUUGCCAAGUACAGGCCCACCAUGCCAUUCCUCGUCUAAAAACAAAUCAAUUGAAGUGGAGAUUCACAGGGGCAUUUGAAGCAAGACAAUCACUCAUAGUUAGAGGCCUCUUUCCCAUGCUUGCUGAUCCACGUCACCUGGUGAGUUAACCUGCCUUUGAUCGGUUGGCUAUAUUAACCAUUCUUUGUUGGUUCUUUUCAAUUUUAGAAUACAUGACCUAGUAUGUAUAAUAUGAAAAAUAGGAACUACCUAUAAAUAUCAACGUGUUUGUUCUGAACAUAAAGGGAAUAAUGG